GGGAUUCCUCUAGGCCUAGUCCCAGCUCAAGGAGCUGAGACAGAGGAAGAUUACAAAUACUUCCAAGGCAAACGUAGAGCACAGAUCCCGGUUCCUUAGAAUCGAGCCAUUCAAGGCACUCAUCUUGAUCAAUAUCUGAUUUGUUUCCCCUCUCUGCUUUGUCUACUCCUACCUUGUUGCACAAGGAAACAGGUCCAAUGGUCCAUGCUUUACCAGACCUUGCCUCCUUGAAGUCUUUGGCAUACGCAGGUUCGAGCUCUUGAAAUGAGUUGACUAUAACACCAUAAGAUGUCUUAUCCGCUUCUACCAUAUCCUCCAAGAUCUCUUUCCAGCCUGCAGGAACAUAUGUUUCCACCGGAACUUGAGGUCUUGUGAAUUCAACUCUAUCAGGAAAAUAAGGAACAAUGAAGUACUCCUUAUCAGACUUUAAAUUGUCCAAGAUCUCACGGUUCUUGCGCAGAACGUUAACACACAGAAGACAAAAGCAACCCAUGCCAUGGAAGAGGAUCUUUGGUAUUUUGAACUUCUUGGCGAUUUCGCUUGUAUACGACAAACACAUAUCAGAGAUUAGACAGCUUGGUCGCGGGCUCAUCUCUUCAAUAAGGUUCUGGACUGGUUCUUUGAGUAAGUUAACCGCUUUAAAGAAAGAUGUUAUCUGCUCCAUCGUUGAUGGGCAAACCAGACUCAAUGGCACGGUUUAGGACAUUCUUGAACCUUGCUGCAUUGUGAGGCGUCGUGACAAUUGUUAUAAGCACACCUCGCUGAGCCAAGAGCCUUGCAAUAUCAACCAUGGGAAUCAUGUGGCCUUGAGCCAUGAAAGGGAAGAGAACAAAGUGAAGAGGAAAAGGUUCGUUGUUUUUUUCGAAAGCCAUGACGAUGCAACUUUAGUAAGAACCUCUCAAGUUUUGUUUCGUUUUCGGUUAAUAUCUGUGUAAGCUUAUAUAUAGAACAAGAUGCGUGGAGAGCAAGAAAGAAAGUGAACAGAAGACGUAAACAGAUUUUUACUUGCC
rnacentral:lncRNA from 1 species